UCGAUUUGGAGGUUGUUCCCGUGAGGAGUCGCCUCCGGAGCUAACGCGUUAAAUCGACCGCCUGGGGAGUACGGCCGCAAGGUUAAAACUCAAAUGAAUUGACGGGGGCCCGCACCAGCGGUGGAGCAUGUGGUUUAAUUUGAUGCAACGCGAAGAACCUUACCUACUCUUGACAUCCAGAGAAUUUAGCAGAGAUGCUUUAGUGCCUUCGGGAACUCUGAGACAGGUGCUGCAUGGCAGUCGUCAGCUCGUGUUGUGAAAUGUUGGGUUAAGUCCCGCAACGAGCGCAACCCUUAUCCUUUGUUGCCAGCACAUUAUGGUGGGAACUCAAAGGAGACUGCCGGUGAUAAACCGGAGGAAGGUGGGGAUGACGUCAAGUCAUCAUGGCCCUUACGAGUAGGGCUACACACGUGCUACAAUGGCGUAUACAAAGAGAAGCGACCUCGCGAGAGCAAGCGGAACUCAUAAAGUACGUCGUAGUCCGGAUUGGAGUCUGCAACUCGACUCCAUGAAGUCGGAAUCGCUAGUAAUCGUAGAUCAGAAUGCUACGGCGAAUACGUUCCCGGGCCUUGUACACACCGCCCGUCACACCAUGGGAGUGGGUUGCAAAAGAAGUAGGUAGCUUAACCUUCGGGAGGGCGCUUACCACUUUGUGAUUCAUGACUGGGGUGAAGUCGUAACAAGGUAACCA
rnacentral:rRNA from 1 species